rnacentral:rRNA from 1 species
UACGGAGGGUGCGAGCGUUGUCCGGAAUCAUUGGGCGUAAAGGGCGCGUAGGUGGCGGGACAAGCGUGCGGUGAAAGCUCGGGGCUCAACCCCGGAGUCGGCCGUGCGAACUGUUUUGCUUGAGCACUGUAGAGGCAGGCGGAAUUCCGGGUGGUAGCGGUGGAAUGCGUAGAGAUCCGGAAGAACACCGGUGGCGAAGGCGGCCUGCUGGGCAGUGGCUGGACACUGAAGCGCGACACGUGGGAGCAAACAGG